rnacentral:rRNA from 1 species
AUUGAACGCUGGCGGCAUGCCUUACACAUGCAAGUCGAACGGCAGCACGGGUGCUUGCCCCUGGUGGCGAGUGGCGAACGGGUGAGUAAUACAUCGGAACAUGUCCUGUAGUGGGGGAUAGCCCGGCGAAAGCCGGAUUAAUACCGCAUACGAUCUGCGGAUGAAAGCGGGGGACCUUCGGGCCUCGCGCUAUAGGGUUGGCCGAUGGCUGAUUAGCUAGUUGGUGGGGUAAAGGCCUACCAAGGCGACGAUCAGUAGCUGGUCUGAGAGGACGACCAGCCACACUGGGACUGAGACACGGCCCAGACUCCUACGGGAGGCAGCAGUGGGGAAUUUUGGACAAUGGGCGAAAGCCUGAUCCAGCAAUGCCGCGUGUGUGAAGAAGGCCUUCGGGUUGUAAAGCACUUUUGUCCGGAAAGAAAUCCUUGGCCCUAAUACGGUCGGGGGAUGACGGUACCGGAAGAAUAAGCACCGGCUAACUACGUG